rnacentral:rRNA from 1 species
AUUGAACGCUGGCGGCAUGCUUUACACAUGCAAGUCGAACGGUAACAGGCCGCAAGGUGCUGACGAGUGGCGAACGGGUGAGUAAUGCAUCGGAACGUGCCCAGUCGUGGGGGAUAACUACUCGAAAGAGUAGCUAAUACCGCAUACGAUCUAUGGAUGAAAGCGGGGGACCGUAAGGCCUCGCGCGAUUGGAGCGGCCGAUGUCAGAUUAGGUAGUUGGUGGGGUAAAGGCUCACCAAGCCAACGAUCUGUAGCUGGUCUGAGAGGACGACCAGCCACACUGGGACUGAGACACGGCCCAGACUCCUACGGGAGGCAGCAGUGGGGAAUUUUGGACAAUGGGCGCAAGCCUGAUCCAGCAAUGCCGCGUGCAGGAAGAAGGCCUUCGGGUUGUAAACUGCUUUUGUACGGAACGAAACGGCUCUGGUUAAUACCCGGGGCUAAUGACGGUACCGUAUGAAUAAGCACCGGCUAACUACGUG